rnacentral:rRNA from 1 species
GAUGAACGCUGGCGGCGUGCCUAAUACAUGCAAGUCGAGCGAACGGACGAGAAGCUUGCUUCUCUGAUGUUAGCGGCGGACGGGUGAGUAACACGUGGAUAACCUACCUAUAAGACUGGGAUAACUUCGGGAAACCGGAGCUAAUACCGGAUAAUAUUUUGAACCGCAUGGUUCAAAAGUGAAAGACGGUCUUGCUGUCACUUAUAGAUGGAUCCGCGCUGCAUUAGCUAGUUGGUAAGGUAACGGCUUACCAAGGCAACGAUGCAUAGCCGACCUGAGAGGGUGAUCGGCCACACUGGAGCUGCGACACGGUCCAGACUCCUCAGGGAGGCAGCAGAAGGGAAUCUUCCGCAAUGGGCGAAAGCCUGACGGAGCAACGCCGCGUGAGUGAUGAAGGUCUUGGGAUCGUAAAACUCUGUUAUGAGGGAAGAACAUAUGUGUAAGUAACUGUGCACAGCUUGACGGUACCUAAUCAGAAAGCCACGGCUAACUACGUG